CGGGAUAUAUGCUAAGGGCUAGGCAUAAAAUGGUAAGUAAGACAGAUACACAUUCCUCUCAUGGAGUUUACAUUCUAGUAGGGGACAAAGCUCGGAGAAGGCAAUGGCACCCCACUCCCGUACUCUUGCCUGGCAAAUCCCAUGGACUGAGGAGCCUGGUAGGCUGCAGUCCAUGGGGUUGCUAGGAGUUGGACACGACUGAGCGACUUCACUUUGACUUUUCACUUUCAUGCAUUGGAGAAGGAAAUGGCAACCCAUUCCAGUGUUCUUGCCUGGAGAAUCCCAGGGAUGGAGGAGCCUGGUGGGCUGCCGUCUCUGGGGUCGCACAGAGUCAGACAUGACUGAAGCGGCUUAGCAGCAGCAGCAGGAGACAAAGCUACAUCAGAACACAAUUUCAGAAUGCCAAAUAUUCGGGAUUUCUUUUUUGAUUUCUUUGGGGGUGAGUUUGUGACUAUGGUACAUGAUGUGCUAAGUCAAGAGACCAGCAGGACGAGUAUUACUCCUGCUUGCUUGGCGAGCUCCUGCCUCUGAAGCAUAAACUGGAGCAUACAGGUUUGUUCAGUGAUUUUCUGAUUCACGUCAUUAACUUGGUGGAUUUUUCCUAUUUGGCCAGUUUAAUUUAUAUAGGACUCAUAAGA
ensembl:lncRNA